GCCGGGCGCGGUGGCGCGCGCCUGUAGUCCCAGCUACUCGGGAGGCUGAGGCAGGAGGAUCGCUUGAGCCCAGGAGUUCUGGGCUGUAGUGCGCUAUGCCGAUCGGGUGUCCGCACUAAGUUCGGCAUCAAUAUGGUGACCUCCCGGGAGCGGGGGACCACCAGGUUGCCUAAGGAGGGGUGAACCGGCCCAGAUCGGAAACGGAGCAGGUCAGAAAAACUUGGAGGAAGUCACAUUUAAAAUUAUUAAAUUUUGAUUCUAUGUACACAGUUUAUCUUUCCUUUU
rnacentral:SRP_RNA from 1 species